rnacentral:lncRNA from 1 species
UUCCAAGAUGGGAAUAGUAAAUGUAUUUCUCACCUCACUGAGAGGAAAAAACAUCACACACAAUAUGGUUAAGGUGCACCCCCUUUAACAGAGCGAUGUGACAACCUUGCAACUUGAACACAAUUUUUUUCUUUAGCUGCUGCCUUCUGGAUUUUUUUUCUUUAAUGUAGUUUAUUCUUGAGAUGCCUCAUGCAUAAGCAUCUUGGAUCGUUUCCUACAAAACAGCGGAGCUCCUAAAUUAAAGGAGUGGGUAGGGCAGAAGUGAAGCCUAUUUCAAACAUGGCUUUAGUGGAGCCGAUUUUGCUGCCAUGUGGAGGCAAAUAUUUGGCCAUGGAGGAAGAACAUCUUAAAAUGAGCUAUGCUCCAGGAGUGAGCAGAUCAAUCCUUCCUAGGAGCCUGUGGUAAUUCAUUUUUUGGAUGAUGUGAGCUGUGAUUCCGCUGAGGGUGCUGCUUUUGUUUGUUUUCUUUUGCAGUGAGCAUGCGGCAGUUGAGAUCACCUUUUCCAAAGCUCAGAUGCUCCUUCCAGAAAGCCAGGGCCCAGAUGAGCAUUUUGAUAUUUGUGUCCCACGAUCAAGGGCAGGGCUUUGGGAGAAAAACUGGAGCACAGCAAAUGUUCAGACCAGGACUGCACACAGCACUGCUCCUUUUUGACCCACUGUAUGACCCUUUUAGGGACGCUCCUUUGUUUUUCAGCUACUGGAUGCUAUGACACAAAUUUCUGUAUGUGUAGUGUCGCUUCCCAUGACCAAAAGCCCUGUGAAAGGGAACAAGUUCCACCCCCUCCUCAGCUCCAGUGACAGCAACCUGUGUCCUCACACUACUUCUUGGCUCCCUCACAGUAAGGUGAUCCACAAAGGGAACAUUAGAAGGCAUUUUCUGAGCCAAGGGUUUUCCCCUGGCAGGUUGCAGAAAGGCCCAUCUGCUUCUCUCGGGGCUGGUGUCGCCUCCAUCCAGCCUCCACAGCUGCGUGCAGCUUUUGCUCUGAGCGCAGUGAUGCUGGUGACAGGGGAGGAAACCUGGCUCCAGGUAGAGAUGAGCCAGAAAAAAGUUGUGUUACAGGUAGGUCCUAAAACUUGUUGGACUGGACAAGGACUCCAAGGCACAAAAAGGGGCUGCUGCUCCCGGGGGCGGUGGGACCUCAGUCGAGGUGCAGCCUGCUUCCUCCCUGGAACAGCGAGGGGAGCAUGGCUCAGCUGGAGGCAGUGGGGCCAACACCGAGUGGCCACACCGGGCACGCAGUGGGUGCAAAUGAAUGCUACAUCAGGAAGACACAUUUCUCUGGAGAGCAUCUGCUUCUGCAGUUUCCAAAGACAUCCUUUAUUUGUGAAUGUAUCUUCUUGUACAUGA